CGCUUCAACUGUACCAUCAGAUCCAAUAAUUGCCGAUCGUUUCAGCGUAUCUGUAAAUCGUUUCACUACAAUACGAGGUAAUUACGAAGAGGUAAUCACCGAACACAGCAAUCAUCUGUCUCGCGCAUAAGUAAAGCGACUAAACUAAAAGAAAGAGAAAAAUGUGUUAACACAUUGAACGCCACGUGAGUUACAUUCAACUCGCACCGUGUUUGGCCAAGAGACUGUAUGAGUUGAGUGUAAGUCCAACUCUGGUCUACGAACCCCACGAUCUGCGAGUUGGAUACGCCUGACAUCUAUGAAUCGUAUAAUACAGAAAGCAAAGCUCGUACGUGUUAGUCUGACGAUACAAACCUUUCGACUGAAUUUUGUUUCACUCUCCACAAGGUCAAUUAUGGCGUCCCCUGUUCUCUCCGUACAUUGUAUAGGAGGUUGUAAUGCGACGAUGGUGAUUCGAGGUAUCUUUGAAAUGUGAGCCGAUGCAAAAAACGUUGGUUAACUGCAGUUGUGGUGCAGACACCGGUUAUAUGGACUGGACAUCUCGUGAGUUUUGUGUAACUCACGGAUGCAAAUGAAGAAGAA